rnacentral:tRNA from 1 species
CCCUGGUGGCUCAGAUGGUAAAAAGUCUGCCUGCAGUGCAGAAGACCCAGGUUCAAUCCCUGGAUCAGGAA